GUGUUGGGCCGGAGUGGCGCAGAGCCGGCCGCCCCUUCUCACGCCGUGCCCUCUGAUCCCACGCCGCCCGGGUGGGUCCCUGCCGGGCCACGCUGCAUUGGGACCUCCGCGGCCUCUGAGGCCGGUGCUGCGUGCACCCGCCCCCGACAAGAGGAGAAACUGAGGCCCCGAGGGGCGCGGCGAGCCGGCGGGGGUCAGCUCCGAGCCUAGGCCCGGCUCCCAGAUCGGUGCCGGUUUCCUCCGCCGGCUGUGGCCCUCUCGGGUUCGUGCCCGCGGAAAGGGGCCUCAGGACCCUGAUGACACUGCCUGAUGCACCCCCACGGUGUCCAGAGGUGAGGCUGCCCACUGGAUGAGUCCACUGCGUGCAGGGGCAUCAUGGGAGUUGUCAUGUCAGGAACAUUCCAGACCCUAGUGUCCUUGAGCCACUUGAAGAAAGAUGAAGUAACACUGGAGACCAAAUACUUGCUGUGACCUCCUGCUCCGUGGCCUCCUCAUCACUCUAGGGGUGCUGCCUUGGAUCUGGAGAUUGUUGGAGGAAGCCCCAAGGGGAUGGAGGCACAGACCCUCAAGAUGGUCCCCUGGGUCGCAGGUCCCCUGGAGGGGCCUCCUCAUGAUUCUUUGGGGGUUGAUUGUGGACACUGGCAGAGUGGAGUGAAGAGCGAAGUUGCCACAUGACAUAUCACCAGAUCUUGUUACCCCGUUACAUCAGCUUGACAUGGGAGAACUUUCCCUCUGAGCGAGCUGGGCAGUGGCAAAGCCUGGGGCUCGGGACCUGGGGAUUAUGUUCAGGGUCGGAGACCUUCCACCGGCUCUGCCCUCCCCAGCAGGUGCUGCAGAGUGCUGUGGACCGGGCCUGCUGGUGUCCUUCCAUGUGGGCCAGGUCCCCCUGUGUCCCCAUGUCCCCAUGCCACCGCACGUGUAACAUUUUAGAACCGAGAGGUCCUGCUGAUGUUUAUUUGUUAUGCAAUCAUUGUCUUCUCACCUGCCUCAAAUAAACCUUGAAACGGCC